GUGGAUAUAGUUUAAUGGUAAAACAACUAUUUGUGGCAUAGUUUAUCCUUGUUCAAAUCAAGGUAUCCUCCC
rnacentral:tRNA from 1 species